rnacentral:rRNA from 1 species
CAGUCGCCACGGUAAAACGGAGGGUGCAAGCGUUAAUCGGAAUUACUGGGCGUAAAGCGUGCGUAGGCGGUUCGUUAAGUCUGUUGUGAAAGCCCCGGGCUCAACCUGGGAAUGGCAAUGGAUACUGGCGAGCUAGAGUGUGUCAGAGGAUGGUGGAAUUCCCGGUGUAGCGGUGAAAUGCGUAGAGAUCGGGAGGAACAUCAGUGGCGAAGGCGGCCAUCUGGGACAACACUGACGCUGAGGCACGAAAGCGUGGGGAGCAAACAGGAUUAGAUACCCGCGUAGUCCCUGUCUCUUAUAC